GGGCCGGGCCGUGACUGGCGCUUGGGUGGAGUACCACCGGGAAGCGGCCCGGCAGGCCGCCGCUGCGGUCGUGCCGAUUGCCGCGCGCCUGGGCGACGAAC
rnacentral:ncRNA from 2 species